rnacentral:rRNA from 1 species
UGGGGAAUUUUGGACAAUGGGCGAAAGCCUGAUCCAGCAAUGCCGCGUGUGUGAAGAAGGCCUUCGGGUUGUAAAGCACUUUUGUCCGGAAAGAAAUCCUUGGCUCUAAUACAGUCGGGGGAUGACGGUACCGGAAGAAUAAGCGCCGGCUAACUACGUGCCAGCAGCCGCGGUAAUACGUAGGGUGCAAGCGUUAAUCGGAAUUACUGGGCGUAAAGCGUGCGCAGGCGGUUUGCUAAGACCGAUGUGAGAUCCCCGGGCUCAACCUGGGAACUGCAUUGGUGACUGGCAGGCUAGAGUAUGGCAGAGGGGGGUAGAAUUCCACGUGUAGCAGUGAAAUGCGUAGAGAUGUGGAGGAAUACCGAUGGCGAAGGCAGCCCCCUGGGCCAAUACUGACGCUCAUGCACGAAAAGCGUGGGGAGCAAAACAGGAUUAGAUACCCUGGUAGUCCACGCCCUAAAACGAUGUCAACUAGUUGUUGGGGAUUCAUUUCCUUAGUAACGUAGCUAAACGCGUGAAGUUGACCGCCUGGGGAGUACGGUCGCAAAGAUUAAAAACUCAAAUGAAUUGACGGGGUCAUAGCUGUUUCCU